rnacentral:rRNA from 1 species
CAUGGCCUUUUGAUAAUAAUUUAAGGUCUGACCUGCCCUAUGAAGUAAGAUUUAAAUGGCUGCGAUACACUGAUCGUACAAAGGUAGCAUAAUAAUUAGUUUUUUAAUUAAGAACUGGAAUGAAGGGUCCUACGAGAAAAAGACUGUCUCAAUUUAAUUUAAUUAGAAUUUUAUUUUUAAGUAAAAAAGCUUAAAUAAUUUUAAAAGACGAGAAGACCCUAUAGAGUUUUAUAUUUAGUACUUACUUUAAAAUUAAAGGAUUAUAUAAUUAAUUUAAGUAUAAAGUAUUUGGUUGGGGUGACUAAAAAAUUUAAUAAACUUUUUUUAUUUUAAAAUUCAUUGAUUUAUGAAUAAGUGAGCCAUUUAUAUAUGAUUAAAAGAUUAAAUUACCUUAGGGAUAACAGCGUAAUUUUUUUUGAGAGUUCUUAUCGAAAAAAAAGUUUGCGACC